rfam:Gorilla gorilla gorilla genomic chromosome, chr20, whole genome shotgun sequence
GCUGGGCGUGGUGGCGUGUGCCUGUAAUCCCAGCUAUUUGGGAGGCUGAGGCAGGAGAAUCGCUUGAAUCCAGGAAGCAGGGGUUGCAGUGAGCCGAGAUCGUGCCACUGCACUCUAGCCUGGGAUACAGAGCGAGACUCUGUCUCAA